GACUCUGAGUGGACGUCGCCUGACGGGAGAGCUUUCACGAGAUUGUCAUCCGAUUGUUGUAAGUGAUCAGUCAAGCAGUCAUCCUGCAUCUUGGAUUUGCCAUGUUCAGUUUGUACAAACAUUAUCUGAUAUUGAGUGAGGCUUUUUCUUUUGCUCCCCUUUGUUUGUGUGUCAGUAGCUGCUCCACAGCACAGCACAGCUCAGCACAGGCUUUGGCUUUUGUGCUGGAUGGAGAAACUGAGAAGUUUAUAAACAGAAGGCAUGGAAGAAGAGAGCAGGUUCUAAAACAAAGAAAUUCUUCUUAAGGAUAAACCUGAGGUCCUGGGAGUUCUUAGAGGUUCUAAAGUGUUUUUUAUGCAUUUGUUGAUGUCAAAUUUUCAAUAAUAAAUUCAAAUAAAUUCUCAUAGUUUUUACAUUUAUAUGGUGUCAUUCUAUGGUGUGUGUAAUA